CCUAUGGCAGUCCGGAGACGUGUAACUCGUCAGGCUUACUAGCUACGGGGCAGUUGUCUGGACAGGUUACUCGCCAGCUAGAAGCUUGGUAAAUGUGCAACCUUGAAAGUGUCAUAAUUAGGCACAGAUAUGCGCGCUGAGUGUGUCAAAUGUAAUGAUGAGGUUAGUUAAAAUGUUUGCCAUCAAAUAUGAGUGUAGGGAGGCAUUAUUUGUCCUGACGAUUUGCUCCUACCUACGGCCAUUUGGCAGUCGAGAGACGUGUAGCGCCCAAGGCUCAGCAGCGACGGGACAGUUGUCUGGACGAGGUUACUUUAGACGUGCAGCCCCGAAAGCACAUUGGGAAGCAUGAAUAUAGCCGGUGAGUUUAUCAUAAGUGAAAUUUAGGUUACUUAGGGUGCUUGGCACUGGUUUUGGUGCUCCAAUGUAAGAUGACCACUGGUAGUUAUGGUCAUGGCCCAUAGGAGCGCCAGUUGUUGCGACACUAAGUAGAAUAUGGUUCAUGAACAAAUAAGAACAUAGGCAAGGUUACCCGAGGCCGACGUCGAUCGACCUGGUCGUCGACCAGGUCCGCCAAUGU
rnacentral:lncRNA from 1 species